rnacentral:tRNA from 1 species
GGGGAUUUAGCUCAGUGGUAGAGCGCUUGCCUAGGAAGCACAAGGCCCUGGGUUCAGUCCUCA